rnacentral:ncRNA from 2 species
GGUGAUAGAGGGAAUGAAGUUCUCCCUUAGUUAUAAAACUAAAACCUCUAAUCUUAGCUGAUGACUUCUGCAUUUAG